rfam:Proteiniborus sp. DW1 genome assembly, contig: DW1_contig56
AUAAAUCUUCAGGGCAGGGUGUAAUUCCCUACCGGCGGUAUAGCCCGCGAGCCGUAAGGUUGAUUCGGUGAAAUUCCGAAGCCGACAGUAUAGUCUGGAUGGGAGAAGAUACUU